CUCCCCGCCGCCCGCUCGGCACCUGCUGACGGCGCGACCCCGAGCGGGAAAAGCUGAGGGCGCGGCGGGCGGCGCCGGGGGGCGGCCGCGGUACCGAGCGAGUGUCACUGCGGGGUGAAAAGCUGGCUCAGCCUUGUUGGAAUCUACAAAGUUACAGUGGAGGCAUGAUGCAGCCAGUCUCCAGGUUGGGACCUGAAGUGCUGAGAACGCAAGAGAACCAAGGGAGCAAAUUAACAGCAAUGUGUUCCAAAUUGAUCUUCCUAUCAUUUCGGAAUGUAUUUAAGUGUGUAGGAUUACUCUGAAAGCAUUCUAAGUAUCUAAUUCUCUAAAAUGCCUUGAAAAACUAUUUGCUGUAUUGUUUGUGAUCAUUGUUGCUUAGAAAGCACACUGCCAAAUAAAGAGGGGAGGAGUAAGAGGAGCAACAAAAAUGAAGGAUUUCCAGUUUAACAUUGACAAAGGUUUCAUCCUCUGUAGUGCUAUGUCCCAAGGACCACUGCAAUUUCAUAUAAAGCUAGUUUUACUAAGAUAGCAACUAUUAAAAUAACAUUGAAAGCAACGCCAUCAUUCAAACUAAAAUAAACUAGCAUGUUUCACUGCUUUAAAA